CCUGAUUCUAACAACUUUAAGCAGGGCAAAGACAAACACAAAUACAUAUCCAAUCUGGAAGACUGCCUCUCCUCUCUGAAGACUAUAAGACUUCAGGGAUCAUGAGUUCCACAGCCUGAAGGGUAAGACCUGGAAUGAAGUCAUGGAAACACAGCAGAAAUUUCCUACUAAUCAAUUAGACUGAGAAAGUAGCAAGAGGCUGUGUGGGAACGCUUCACGACUCUAGAACACCUUCUAGAAUAUAUUCAGGAACCCAUCUUGUUCACUACUGUUUCCAGAGGACCUCAAACAGUGCCCAGUGCCUGGGAGGACUCAGUAAGUAAUGUUGAAUACAUGAAUUUCCUCAGUAAAAAUGUUGAAUACAGAAAAAGACACAACAAACCAUAUUCUUGAGAU
rnacentral:lncRNA from 1 species